GACAGAGGGUGCAAACGUUGUUCGGAAUUACUGGGCGUAAAGCGUGUGUAGGCGGCCCGGUAAGUCCGCUGUGAAAGUCGGGGGCUCAACCCUCGAAUGCCGGUGGAUACUGUCGGGCUAGAGUGCGGAAGAGGCGAGUGGAAUUCCUGGUGUAGCGGUGAAAUGCGCAGAUAUCAGGAGGAACACCAAUUGCGAAGGCAGCUCGCUGGGACGUAACUGACGCUGAGACGCGAAAGCGUGGGGAGCAAACAGG
rnacentral:rRNA from 1 species